rnacentral:rRNA from 1 species
AACUUUCAACAACGGAUCUCUUGGUUCCCACAUCGAUGAAGAACGCAGCGAAACGCGAUAGUUAAUGUGAAUUGCAGAAUUCAGUGAAUCAUCGAGUCUUUGAACGCACAUUGCGCCCAUUGGUAUUCCUUUGGGCAUGUCUGUUUGAGCGUCAUU